AGCUUCAUGGCGCAGCGGAAGCGGUAUGUUAUAUAAACUCGUCACCCUCACCUUGAACAUUUAACUAACAAACAUUACAGCGCCGGGCUCAUAACCCGGAGGUCCUCUGAUCGAAACAGAGUGAAGCUA